UGUAAUGUGUCUAAAUACCAGGAUGGAGUUUGUCCAGUGUAUCUAUUCGUGCUGGUCUGGAGGGUGCAGUUUUGCAAGGCCGAACCCAAGUAUUGUCUUCAGAAGAAGCUAGUUUACUUGGAGUACCUGGGGCAACUAUACUACUUGAUGGAGCACAUACGAAGGAAUCUGCCAGGGCUUUAACAAACACAUUGCAGAUGACCUUUCCGAAGGCAAAAAUGGUUCUUGUGGUUGCUAUGGCGAAUGACAAGAAUCAUCUAGGUUUUGCAAGAGAGCUACUCUCAGUUGGGAAUUUGGAUGCUGUAUUUUCUACAGAAGUUGACAUCGCUGGUGCUAAAUUAAGGCUGACUUCAGCAUCUUUAUUGAAAUGUGCUUGGGCCAAUGCUU